rnacentral:lncRNA from 1 species
UAGAGGUCCCCUCCACAUCAUAUGCAUAAGCCCUUUUUCUUCAUUCAUUAAUUUACGGAAGGGAAAAUUAAUACUAUUAUUCUCAUAAAAAGUGGGAAUACCAAGGAAAGAGAUCCUCUCCACACCAUAUAUUUUUCUUUUCUGAGUAGUUAUAUCCAAUGGAGAGAGGAAAACAAGAGCACCAAUGGUCGCAGGUUCACCGGAGAAAAUGAAGGUGCAGUGGUGAUGUGAGUUUAGGGUUAUUGGGUGUAAAGAUAACAACUUUAAUAUUUAUUUUCUCAUUUUUAUUUAUUUAAGGGCAAAUUUGAAAGUUUAGUAGAGAAAAUUUGUUAGUUGGGUGUAGAGAUAAAAAGGUUGGGUCCAACAAAAUUUCUCAUAAAGUUUAAUCACGCGAUUAAGUUCUUGUGCAAUGAGUAAAUUGUAGCAAUGACCCAUCAACUAAAAAUCCAUUAUUAUUGAUCCCUCAACUCAUCAAAAUAUGUAGUUAUGGUCAUUUUCGUCAACUUUGUAAGAAUUUUGUCAAAAUAAAUUAUGUUGGAAGGACCAUUGUUACAAUUAAGGUCCUUCAACUCAUCAAAACAUGUAGCUAUGGUCAUUUUCGUCAACUUUGUCAAAAUGAGUUAUGUUGGCAUGACCAUUAUUGCAAUUGGGUUAAAGUUGAGGAAUCAUUGCUCCAAUUGGGUUAAAGUUGAGGGAUCAUUUCUCUAGUUAGAUUAAAGUUGGGGGACCAAUGAUAAUUAAGUUUUAGUUAAGGGAUCAUAGUUGCACGUUUUGAUGAGUUGAGAGAUCAAUGAUAAUGAAUUUUUAGUUAAUGGAUCAUUACUCCAAUUGAGUUAAAAAUAAAGGACCAUUGCUACAAUUUACUCUUGUGCAAUAGAAGAUUAAUUUGGCCGAACAACCUGAUUAAGGUGCCUACUUUCUCUUUAAUUCAUUGGUAUCAUUUAUUUUCCCUUAAGCUGAAUUAUGCUCAAUUUAUGUAUCAAUAUUGUAAAGUUGUCUUUGUUAGAGUAAUUUGGACAAUAUAAAUUGAAAAUUAUUUGUGUAUAUGGAAAAGAUUAACCUCAGGGGUCACUUCGCCGGACUCCGUAGCAAUCUCCACCACUCCAAUCGUAAUGGUGAGUAAAUCACUUGUGUUUGUUUCCAUUUUUUCAAUUGGAAAUUGGGGGUUUUGAAUUCAUAUUUUGUCAAUUGGUUUUGUGAGCACUGAGAAUACACUACGAGCUUGUGUGUGUGUACAAUAUGUUGGAUUUGAUCUUUAUAAAGAAUGCGAGAAAUUGGGGUUAGGAAAGAGAAGAAAAGGAAACAGAACUCGAACUUCGAUCUUCAUUCUUGUUACUAAAGGAGAAAACCGAAUUUGAACCGGUUCAUACGUAAUCGAACCGAAUUUGUAUAGUUCGGUUCACCCCUUAGUACCGAACCGUACCAUACCAAAAAAAAUUUCUUGAGUUUGGUUUUGAUACAUCCCUCAUACUGUACCAUACCAAAUCGUGGCCAGACCUACUGAAUACAAAACUUAUAUCUGGGUCGUAAGUCGUAAGGCCUCCAAAAAAAAAGUUCAUAUUAUUCAUACCAAUCGGACAAAUCCCGCACCCAAAAACAAUGGCUAGAUAGAAAGUUCAAUUAUAGAUUAGGUAAUCUAUCCUUUUCAACUUAAAUGCACAUUCAUGAUGGUUAUGCAAAUCAUAUUAUGUUAACAAAUGCAACAAUUAAUUAUAUUUAUCCAUUUGGAAUGAUAUAUAUUUUCAAAGAUGGAAUUACAGACCCCGUUGACGUUGAGGCCAUUGCAUGAGAGAAUUUUAGAUGAUUUUCAAUUAAUUUAUAUUAUUGUUGUGAUAACCAUAAUAAUUAUUUUCUAAAUGUAAAACUAUAUUAAUGAAAUUUUCUUUGUCGGUCAAAAGAAGAUGAAAAGAUAUCUUUAUCUUCUAUCACAACAAAAAAAUUAAGGAUAUUAAUGUAAUAGGCUAAUAGCGAUGGGGUGAAGAAAUGGAACUAUCCUAAAUAGGCAGUUGCUGGUUAUAUUGGAUCAGGUGGUCUGAAUGAUUGGAUAAUUAGCAAAUAAAAAGGUUCCAUUUUUCAUGGACCCUCAAGUGGAAAUAUGGGAUAAAAGAUGGCAUAUACCAUUUUAUCCAUUUGUGAUUGUACAUUUUGAUGGUUGUGAUUUCACCCGAUGGCGCGGCAAGUGUGGAUUGGGAUAAGGAUGGUUUUGGUCUAUCAUCAAAGAUGGUUUGAUGUUCACGACUGGAUUUUACAACGCAUCCAAGUGCAUGGGUUCUAUAAAUACAGAGUUGCGCACAAUAAAAAAGUACAAAGGACCUUCAAACCUUUCACACACUCUGAGAAACUCCUGAUUCUCCCAACUUCGUCAACACAUCUUCAAUUUGGAUUAACAUCACUGUUUGUCAGUGAGGAGUCCUUAGUCUUCUCGUCUCAUUAGCCCUCUAGGUGAAGUGAGGUGUUACUGAAUUACUUGAGUAUUCAGCACAUUGAAAGUCGAACCUUAUUUGAACUUCACAGUAGUUAGCAAUCUUAUCUUCAGGUUUUAGAACCCAAUGCCAAGACAUAUUCCUUCCUCGACAGUGAUGGUUUGUACACAAAAGUUGGUUUGUACACAUAAGUCAGUAUUGUGUUUGACACACCAUCCCAUUCAUUCUACUAGCCCACAAACGCGUGGACUCGUCCAAAAUUACCCCACUCUCGGCCCGUUCACUUGCCCACUCGUCCCACGCGGCCCGUGAGUCUUCAGUGCCUGAUAGGGGGGCCUACUGUUAGGGCCGUUGUUGGCCACAACCCAGAGCCCAACGAUUUUUUUUUGCAUCCCACGACUGGCAUUUUUGGACCGUUGGUUGAUCCAACGGUCCAGAUUCAAAUUUUGUUUUUUUAAAUGUUAUUUUAAAAUACAUUGAAUCCAACGGCUGAGAUCGAAUAUAAUCAAAUCUAACGGUAAAAUAAAAAAAGAUAAAAAAAGAUAUAACAGUCCAAAUUUAAAUCCAACAGCUAAAAUAAUUUUAAAAAAAAUUAUUUAACUCAAAAUUCACCCAAAAACUCUAUAAAUACCUUUGUAUUUGUUCAAACAUCCACACAAAACUCAAUUUUCUCCCACAAUUCUUCCAUUUUUUCUUUCUACCAUUUCUUUCCAUUUCCAAAUUGUUCAACACGAUCCUUGAAUUGGCCAUCCCAAGCAGUAAGACAAUUCUUCCACUCCCAAAGCAUACAAUCGAGACUUCCUAUCAUGUCAGGAAAGCCUAUUUUGUCUGCUUUGAGUAGAAUGUGACGACAUGUCCCGAAUUAUUAUAUAUUUUUCUCCCUAAGUGUGUAAAGUGACGGUAAUGCCCUCGUGAUUUAGUGACGUGGAUGUACAUAUGUAGUUUUAAAUUAUUAUUUCUAUUGUCGUAGUUAAAUUGUACUCGACGCCAUGAGUGUGUUGAUGUGACCUAGGGCUAAAACAAAUUCGUAACGAAGAAGUUACGAACAGACGAGUGUGUAAAUGCGUAGAAAUAUAUUUUUAUGGGUUGGCUAUACCUUACCCACCAAUCACCUUAAUUCCUGAUUUCUUUGGCCUAAUUGAAUUAAAAAUAUCUCUCAUUUUUCCUUCUGCCCAAUCACGCACAUACACACCAUCACUCUCUCUCUUCUCUCGGACCUUCUUCUUCUUUCUUCUCAUUCCGUACACCCGAGCCACCCUUACCUCACAAUCAUCAUCAAAACAUUAUGGAUCGAAUUGGAAAUCACUACCAUCGCAGUCACCUCGAUCCCACGAACUCAUUGAUACCCUUAGGUCGAGGAAUAGACGUCGGGAAUUCGAGAACUCGGGAGCUCUGGCGAGGUGUAUUUUUCUACUUUGUGAUCGUGGUCUUUUUCUAUGGUUUAAAGGCUUGAGGUGGGUCCUAAUCAACUUUAUAGGGACCCUAGAUUAGUUUUGGAGCAGUUUGAACGUUGGAAUAGGUGAGAACAUGGAGUUGCAGGUUGGCCGGUUGAUCCAAGCCUUACUCCGACCACUUUCUGUCGGUUUUAGAACCUCAAGUAGGUAAGAUUGUAUUCUUCUAGUUGAGAGUUUCAAAUCCAUAUAAAAUUCAUGGAAUUUGGUUGAAAAAUGAUGAAGAUAUUAAAGUUUUAAGAUUUUUCCAAAAAUCAGCGACACAAACGGCGCCCGACGGCCAGCGAUGGAUUCCGACAAAGCCAUCGGAGAAGGAGGAGAAUAUUAUGUCUAACUUUGACAGAAUAUACUAACAGCGUCAGGUAACUCUAUUAGUUUUUAAACAAAAUAUUCUACUAUUUAAUGAAAUAUUCCCUAACGCCGUUAGGGAUUCCGUGCCUGCACGUGCCGGCUUAUGAGGGCGCGUGAGACGUCAGGAAAUUAAUCUAAAAAUAUUGGGGUGUUCGAGUUGUUGAGUAGGUCAUGUUGGUAUAUUCAAACACCCUAUUUGAGCAACGUAUGAGAAGUUAUUCCUAGGGUUUGUGUAUGUGCCUUAAAAUUAAUGUAAAAUUAGUUAUUUCGCAUAUAGGUGAGACUUACCCGGAGGACAAACGUGGUCAAACGAGACUUGGGGGCUACGAUCCUACUACUUACCAGUGAGCGGGCUUUUUUUUUCUAUAUAUAUGUAAAUAUGCUUAUGAAUCCCAUAAACUACUUUAAAUGAACGUAUGUUUUAAAUGCCAUGUCGUGUGCAUUAUGUGUUAGUAUUGCAUUAGUAUAGCUAUGCAUAGUAUUGGAUGAGACUGCGCAGACUCAGGUAAGUUUCAGGUGAGUACAUCAUGAUGGUAUUGGGUGCGUGUGUGUGGUUAUACGUUGAUGCAUUUUGAGCUUAUUAUCCUGCACAUUGGUGUUAGUGUUCUCGCCCAUGGCCAGGGCAUAGUUUUUCACAUGAUGUUCACCUCCUGGGCCGCACGCUCACUUUGGAUCCAAGUUUGGUGCACAGCCAUAUUGCACAGACCACAAUAGGUGGUUCCGACUCGUAGGUGACCUGCAAUUAUUUGCACAGCCUUCACGUGAUCGUAGCACUUAAGCGUACUUAUCUACACCCAGCCCUGUUGUACAGACCACAAUAGGUGGUUCCGACUUAUGUGCAUGCAUACUUGAUGAGCUAUAGAUUCAAUUGUACAGGUUACAUUAGGUGACUCCGGUUGGCAUACUAUUUUAGGUUGAUUCGUAUCACCUGGCUUACACAUUUUAUGGUUGAACAUCUUGACAUGGCAUACCUCUGUUUUCACUGCUCUAAGCAUUAUCCUUAUGUACCUAGUUGUUAUUAUUUUCUGGAAAAUUAUAUGGGUUUACAGUGAGGGGUUAGUAUGUUCAUAAAGACAACUGUGUUUUCAAAAACUUUGUUUUUGCCUACUCACAUUUUUUGUUUUGCACCCUUUCAGGUUCUAGGUAGUUGGUCAUCCUUGGUGGCUCACGAGGACUUUCACGGCGGUUCUGACAUCUCUGUAAAUAAGUAGGGAUUUUUUUCCCUGUUUGUAUAAUUAGUACUUAGUUGGUUCGAUUGCACUUUCGUUUACCCAUGCUCUGAUAUUUGUAUAACUUGCUUGGUCAUCUUUACUCACUUAUAUUAUCUUAGUUUAGAUAAGUUUGGUUUUAGGUUUUUAUUUAUUCGCAUUUCUUUUAUUAUUACUUCUGUUGCGCAUUUUGGCUACGUUACUCUUACGUGACGGGCAUCAUGUUUCGACUUCGGUUGGGGUGUGUCAUAAAAGCCUCUUCAAGUCUUCAUGAUUUGGCUUGCAGAGAUAUGUGGCUCCAUAUGUGGCCUGAAUUGCCCCACAGAAGCGCUCCAGGUUUUUAAUAGCAGUAGUCUCCGCAAGUCGGCAAUACUCAUCAGUUGAGUUUGCAGAGCACUCAUUAGCUAGCAUCCGAAAUGCAGAUGUGAGCUUCUGAUGAGGUGAUAGACUUUGUCGGCCUACGACAUUUAUCUUCCUUGCAAAGUAGUGGUCAUGAUUGACAACUGUGUUCAAGAUGCUUUCAAAAAUCUCUCUCCUCAUUCGAAACCGUCUCCGAAAAUCAUGAGCAGGAAAUCUCGGACGCUCAAUAAAAUAAUAUUUCAUCAUUCGGUCAUGACACUCUUCUCUAUCACGUUGCACAAAUGAACGCUUCGUGACAUAACCACAAUAGCUAGAUUCGACAUGGUGCUCAUAUUGCAUAAGCGAGUUUGGAAGUUUAGCUUAUGCGUUGAUCAUUUUUGAAUCCUCAAUGUCAAGGCUUGCUUGGUAUUAUGUCAUUUGCAUUGCCCUGCUACACCUUCUUCUAUCAUCCAUUGUUGAUAUAUUGAGGAUUUUUAUGAAACAAAAACACUUUGAAAGUUGAAAGAUUAGUGAAUAUAGGGAAUGAUUGAAGGUUGAAAGAUUGUGUGACCAACUGAUAUUGAACAUGUGUUUAUAUAGAGGAUGAUUGAUGAAAGUUGAAAGUUUGGUGAAAGUUGAACGGUUGGUGAAAGUUGAAGAUUUGUGAAAGUUAAAGACUUGCUUUGUGGAAAGAUUUAGUGAUUUUUUCAAUAUUUAUUGGAAUUUAAAUAUUUUUAUAUUAAAAUGUUCAUAAAAUUAAUUUACCAUAGGCUACAUAAUUUUUUUUAAAAGUUAAUUUAAGAAAAAAAAUUAGCCUAAGUUCAUUCUUUAAUAAUCCCGAACUAAAAUUUUAGGCUAGGGUUGGAGCAGAAAAACUGUUUCUGUGUUAAAAGCUAAAUUUUUUAGAUUAAAAAUUUUAAAUUUUAACCCAAAGGUUGGAGAUGAUUUAAGAAUGGAUAAACUUAACCAAGAAAAGAAGAAAAAAGAUGAAGGGCAAAUAAGUGAGAAGCAACAUGACACGACACACGGACGACCAUAGCAAUAAAGCGUGCGUCCUCACGUCCAUUGAAUAUAUAGAUGGGAGCUACAACAUCGUGUUUCACGUGCAUGUGUAUUAUACAUAAAGGCAUAUACAGUGUUAGCUUAUAUAUUAUAAAGUUUGUAGGCCACUUACCCAAUUUGGCAUAUGUUUUAUCUUUUUACGUGAAUAACCAAUGUGUUAUGAUGAUACAAGUCUCUUAACAUAUCCGGAGUUAGAAAUAUCAUAAGACAGUGUUGCGAUCAUAUUGAAAUUAAUUGACAGUUUGUAUUAUAUAUUUGAUUAUUCUUUAUUAACUUAAGGAGACAGCAUACUUAGACCUAAUUUAGUCACAUUCUCCAACCGAAAAUAAAGCGGUGUAGUAUUCAUACACUUUUUUUUAUUUCUUACACAGUCUUAAUUAAUUUCUAUUGUUUGAUCUUCUUCAAUUCAUUCGAUCUGACGACCGAAAAUUAAGAUGGUGUGUGGACGAGUAAAUUAUAACAAUGGUCCCUCAACUUUAAUCAAAUUGGAGCAAGGGUGCUCAACUAAAAAUCCAUUACCAUUGGUUCCUCAACUCAUCAAAAUGUGUAGCUAUGGUCAUUUUCGUCAACUUCGUUACAAUUUUGUCAAAAUAAGUUAUAUUGGAAUGACUAUUGCUACAAUUGGGGUCCCUCAACUCAUCAAAACGUGUAGCUAUGGUCAUUUUCAUCAAUUUCGUUAGAAUUUUAUCAAAAUGAGUUUUGUUGGAAUGACCAUUGCUACAAUUGAAUUAAAGUUGAGGGACUAUUAUUUCAAUUGAGUUAAAGUUGAAAGAUCAUUUCUUCAGUUGUAUUAAAGUUGAAGGAUCAAUGGUAAUGAAUUUUUAGUUGAGGGGACUAUAGCUGCACGUUUUAAUGAGUUGAGAGAACAAUAAUAAUGAAUUUUUAGUUGAAAAACUAUUACUUCAAUUGAGUUAAAAUUAAGAAACAAUUGCUACAAUUUUUUUAUAUGGAAAGUGGAUGAUGUGAAUAGCACAUCCAAAAAUAAAAGGGAACUUUAACGAAAAGCACCCGGUACUGUUCACUUUAACGAAAAACCACAUUUUUACACUAAAAAGUCAAUCCUGGUACUAUUCACUUUACCCUUUAUUUUGUCCUUAUCAUUAAAACUCAAAGUUUUCAAGCCCUUUUCAUUAGUUUUCCUAAAAUAAAAUGCACCACAAUUUGGUAGGAUCUUCCUGUUGAGAGUAAUAAAUUAAUAAUUGCCGAAAUAUUGGAUAAUUUGUCGGCCACAACGCUAUGAGGGAGUAUCUGGGGAUGAAUAUACUCUUGCCGACAGAUGCCCAAAUUCCAACUGCCAUUCAAAUGAGCCCUCCACCACCACCGGCCAUAAUAAAUUCUCUUUCUUUAGUGAAGAAGAAAAAGAGGUACUUGGCCCUCACCUCAACUUUUUGAGAAAGAACAAGUUUAUCGCUAUCAGAAUGUUUCGGUCAAUUAUAUAAGUUAUGUGUAAAUUUUUCUUUAGAUAACAUUACAUUAUUAUAUUUAAAAUGUUCCGUAACGAUAAAUUUGUUUCAUACAAAUUAUUCUCCAACUUCUUGGAUUUUUCUCCUUUUUCCCGAAAACCAGCUUAUAUUAGUGUUCAUCCUCUGUCAAUAUCACUCGCCCACAACUAUUCAACUAACUUUUAAUAAUUUGACAACGUGUCAUAUUUUUGUGCAAAGCGGGCCCAUUUUUGUGGGUGAUAUAAUAAUGGCGUAUGUGGUUUGUCAAGACAUAUACUCAUUUAUCCAUUAGCAGUUAGGUAAGUCACCUCACUCACCCACAGCCUAACACAUCAACAAAUAUUGCUUACAAAUUCUAGAAAAUUCGACCAAGAAAAAAAACCAAAUGCUCGCAAAUUAAAAUUGUGUAACAUGAUUAGUUUUUUAUCCAUUAGUAUUAAUUUUACGUUGGAAGAAAUUCCAAAUUUAUUCUUGUAAAGAGGGAUAUGAAAAUACUUUGUAUGUCUAUCACCAAAAUCUUCGAAUGUUUGAAUGGUUGAUUUUCAAGUCUCACACAAUUGGAUUUAGUUCAAGUGAGAAAGAAAUACACUCAAACUAUUAGAUAUGAGGAAUGAAAAUACACUACAAAAUCUUGUGAACAUUUCUAAUAUUCUCUUCUAUCUACUUUUUGUGAACCAAGUUUUUAUUUGUUUUUUUUUUUAACAAAAGAUAUUUUUUAUACUAGGGAAAUAAGGUGGGUUUAGCCUCAUAAUGGGCUAACAUAAUCUAGUUCAAACUUGCAUUUGGUGAGAAUCGAACCUAAAAUCUCUCACUUACAAGUGAAGAGGAAUACCAUUAGAAGUGUCAUGAAAUUAGCAGUCUUAUAUGUAAAAAAUUGAUUGACUAAAUGCUGUGUUAAAAAACAAGAUUAAUACUUGCAUCUCCCCACUUGGAAAAUGCAAAUAUUUCAUUUCUUGCAAAUAACGUAUAUCAUGCGUUCUGUUCAAUCGCAUAUUCAAAAAUGUUAAAAACAAGAUUAAUAUUUCUAUCUCCCCACUUGGAAAAUGCAGUAUUUCAUUUUUUACGAAUAACGUAUAUCCUGUGUUCCGUCCAAUCGCGUAUUAAAAAAAUGUGUGAAGUUUGGAUUAACUACACUCUUUGAGAAUUUCCUUAAAUAACCACUUUUUGAAAAUUUCUUAUAGGACUAAGUGAGUCUCCGCUGAGAAUUUCCUUAACUAACACAACACUACUUGAGUGAUAAUUUGUUAUAUCUUGAAUAGAGAAUAAAUCAGUUCCCUACUUUUGAAGGUACUAUUAACUUACACUAUAUUUGAAUGAGAACAAUAAACUUAGAAUUUAGAUGAAGGAAAUAAAACAGUUUCCUACUUUUGAAGGUACUACUCGAGUGAUAAUUUGUUAUAUCUUGAUAACGUGUCAUAUUUUUUUGCUAAGCGGACCCAUUUUUGUGGGGUGGUAUAAUAAUGGCGUUUGUUGUUUGUCAAGGGCAUAUACCCAUUUAUCCAUUAGCAGUUAGGUCACCUCACUCACCCACAACCUAGUACAUCAACAAAUAUUGCUUACAAAUUCUAGAAAAUUCAACCAAGAGAAAGAAAACCAAAUGCUCGCAAAUUAAUCUGUGUAACAUUAGUUUUUAUCCAUUAGUAUUUAUUUUACAUUGGAAGAAAUUCCAAAUUUAAUCUCGUAAAGAGGGAUAUGAAAAUACUUUGUAUAUCUAUUAUCAAAAUCUUUGAAUGUUUGAAUGAUUGAUCAUCAAGUCUCACACGAUUGAAUUUAGUUCAAGUGAGGAAGAAAUACACACAAACUAUUAUAUAUGAGGAUUGAAAAAUACACUACAAAAUCUUGUGAUAACAUUUCUAAUAUUCCUUUCUAUCUACAUUUUGUGAUAAGUUUUUUUUUUCCUUUUUUGAACAAACUAUAUUUAUCUACAUUAAGGGAGAGGAGGUGAUCUUAGCCUCACAAUGGGCUAGCAUAAUGUGGUUCAAAUUCGCCUUUGGCGAUAAUCGAACCUAAAACUUAUCAUUUACAAGUAAAUAGGAAUACCACUAGAUGGAUCAUGAAAUUAGCAGUCUUAUAGGUAAAAAAAAAUUGAUCGACUAAAUGAUGUGUUAAAAAACAAGAUUAAUACUUGCAUCUCUCCACUUGAAAAAUGUAGAUAUUUCUGUGAACACGGAAAAUUCCUGAAACGAAAGAGACAAGAACAACGUGCACAAAAUAAUAUUUUGGUGUUAAUGGAUUUGUUGGGUUACGAUCUCUUUUAACUUGAUCCUCUGAUUCGAUCUCCGUAAGGUGUUGAUUUAUGGAUGUUUCGUUGAUCCAAGGGCUGUUGAGGCUUGAUCUUAGAUGAACUGUUGGAAGUUUCUUCAAGGGGCCGUGGGCUUGAUCUUUGAAGGUGGAUUUGAGCGGAUCUUCAAGGAGCCGUUGGGGCUUGAUCUUGAGGAUGAGUGUUUCUUCAAGGGCCGUUAAGGCUUGAUCUUGAAUAACGGUGAUGAACGGAUCUUCAAGGGCUUUUGGGCUUGAUCUUGAAGAACGGUUGGAUGUGUGGAUUUGUUGAUGUUGUUGAUCCAAGGGCCGUCGGAGCUUGAUCUUGGAAGAACGAUGAACGAAGAACGAAGAACACUUUCUUCAAAGGCCGUCGGGGCUUGAUCUUGAAUUGGUGAUUGUUGAUCCAAGGGCCGUCGGGGCUUGAUCUUGGAAGAACGAUGAACGAAGAACGAAGAACACUUUCUUCAAGGGCUGUCGGGGCUUGAUCUUGAAUUGGUGAUUGUUAAUCCAAGGGCCGUCGGGGCUUGAUCUUGAUUCUUCGGGAUGAACGGAUGAUGAACAAUGAACACUUUCUUCAAGGGCCGUCGGGGCUUGAUCUUGAAUUGGUGGAAGUUCUUCAAGGGCCUUUGGGGCUUGAUCUUGAAGGUGGAUGAUUGUUGAUCCAAGGGCCGUCGGGGCUUGAUCUUGGGAUGAACAGUUGUGUGGAUUUGUUGAACACUUUCUUCAAGGGCCGUCGAUGCUUGAUCUUGAAUUGGUGGAAGUUCUUCAAGGGCCGUUGGGGCUUGAUCUUGAAGGAGGAUUUGACGAAGAACGAAGAGGGCUUUCUUGAUCCUUCGGGAUUUGCUUGAAUUUGGGAGGUUGGAUGCUUGAAAGCUUUAGAGUUUCAAAGCUUCAAGGAUUUUGGAUGUGUGGGGAGUAUUCUCUUCCAUUUUGGGAGUAGAGAAAUGUAUUUGUGAAUUGGUUUUUGAUACCUUGAUGUAGAAGCCUAUUUAUAGGCUUUGAGAAUGAAUCACCACCACAAAAUAUUUUUUUUCUUUUCCAAGCACCAUUGCCUAAUUUCCCACUUAAUACAAUUUUAAACUUGAAGUGGUAAUUUUAUGGCCUAAUUUUCCACUUAAUAUCAUUUUAAACUUGAUAUGUGCAUGCUUUGUCAUUGCCCAAAAUGAGAAGAAAACCUUGUUUUGAUCUUCAAUGAAUUGAAAUGUGCUUGCCUUGUCAUUGCCCAAAAUGAGAAGAAAAACUUGUGUAAUCCUUCAAGGGUAUUUCUUUUUAUUUUGUUGAGUCGCACACCAUGUGUACAAUUUGUAUGACACGUGGCAUAUGCCAUGUACGCCUUGACACGUCAAAAUUUUAAUGCGUUGGUGAACAUUUAUUUCACCGCAAUUUCGGUGUCUACAAAUGCCCCCACUUCAAGGUGCGUCGUAUACAUGUGCUUGUCACGUGUAGGAGAUGCGUUUUGAAGUCCCUUACUGUAGAUGUCAAUCCAAUGGCCAUCGAGGCUUGAUCUUGAAUUGGGCUGGAGAUUUCUUCAAGGGCCGUUGAGGCUUGUUCUUGGACUUUGUUUGAAAUUUCUUCAAGGGCCAUCGAGGCUUGAUCUUGAAGGUUGAAAUUGGACCACAAGGAGCUUCAUGUGGUAGAUGAUCUUUGGCUUUGGUAGUGGAUGAAUCGGCACGUAUUUGUUUUUGCGCUUUGUUGACUUUCCACAGCUUUGAUCUUGAACUGGGUUGGAGGAUUUUUUGGAUUCCUCCAAUUGUUGAUUUUCCACAGUUUAUUCUUGAACUGGAUUUGAUUCAAAUAUGGUGGACGCUUGAUCUUGAAUCGGACUUGUGAUUUCCUCAAGGGCCGUCGAGGCUUGAUCUUGAAUUUGGCCGGAAACUUCUUCAAGGGCCGUUGAGGCUUGAUUCUUGAAGGUUGACUCGAACACAUGGCAAGCAGGCACGAGGUGAAGGUGACGACUUGUUGCUUUGUUCAAUCUUUCUAAUUCACACCUGAGCAGUUUGGUCAACGGUAUGAUCUUCAAGAUUGAUGGGCUCUUCUUCCAGUUGGUGAUUUGAUCUUUAAGGAUUUGAUUCAAGGGUGGUGAAACGGCACAUGCAGCCCACAACGCCUAGCAAGUCGACCCAAGAAUUUGAGGGUUAAAACGAGUCCUCCACCCAGAGUGAUUGCAAACCUGAUGAUAUGAGAUACUUUUGAUUUUGAAGAAGUAGCGGAUGAAUCGGCACGUGCUUUGUUGUGCUUGUCUCCACAUGCUUCAAUGUAUCAUUUUCCCUUGUCUUAUCUAUUCUUCUAGCAGAAUGUAGCAUCUUCUUAAGUUCUUCAACUCAGACUCCUUCUGCUGAGCUGACUGUGCAGGCUGCAUUAUUCUCUGCUUGUUUCUUUAGGCAGAUGUGGCAGCUUCUUGAGUUCCUCAGCUCGGACUCCUUCUGCUGAGCUGAUUGUGAAGACUGCAUUCUUAUCUGCUUGUUUCUUCUGUACGUUGUCUCCACAUGCUGCAAGGUAUCAUUUUCAAUUGCCUUAUUUGUUUUCCAGGCAAAUGUGGCAUCCGAGUUUGAGUGGAGGUUCUGGCAUAUUGUUUUCUUUAUCCUUGUCUUUGUAGGUAAGAACAAGGACAAAGGAAAGGACAGGGAGAACGCAUGAUAUGAUAUACUCUUGCUUUCUACCCUGGUGAUAUGAGAUACUUUUGCUUUGGUGUCAUUUGUUUGCAGAGGUACCCCAAGGAAUAAGAAACACUGAGUGACUCGAGAGGCUUUGUUGGGAAGGCAUUCUAGGAGAUGAAGAAAGGUUCUUGGAGAUGAAGAAAGGUUCUCGGAGAUGAAGAAAGGUUAUGUAUGUCUGCCUUGCUAUGGAGGGUAAAGGUGGACAGUUAUAGGAAAUUCUUUAGUACCUGUAGAGGUACUAUUCUUUUACUCGUGUCGGCAACCAAUGUGUGAUUGAUCAGUAUGGCUUCACGUGUUUUCUUCUUUAUCAGAAAUCUUCGACAAAUUGUCCGUAAUUUUCGUCAAGCUGAGUGUGCAUGUGACAGGUGUUGACGAGGCUGAAAAAGACUGGUGCCUCUUCGAUAUCUGGGAUCGGCGCUUCGACAAAUUGCCCGUGAUUUCCGCAAAGCUGAGUUUGCGCGUGACGGGUGCUGACGAGGCUGAAAAAGACUGGCGCCUCUUCGAUAUCUGGGAUUGGCGCUUUAACAAAUUGCCCAUGAUUUCUGCAAAGCUGAGUUUGCACGUGACGGGUGCUAACGCGUCUGGAAAAGCAAGAUGCUUCUCCGAUUUCUGAGCUUGCCUCUUUGAUUUUUGAAUUGGCCUCUUCGAAUUCUGAGCUCGCCUCUUCGAUCUUUGAAAUCCCAUCGAGUGUUGAUCUUUAUAGAGGCACGCAGUUCGUUUCAAAGCACACUUGAAUUUUCGCUUGUAGAAACUCCCUUCUUGCACUUCUAAGAUCUUGAUUUGUCCGACCUCUUCUUUCUUCAACACCUUUGAAAAUGUCUGGACCCUCCGACCGUCAUUUUGAUUUGAACCUUGGUGAAGAGGUAGUCCCGUCUUCUCCAGAUAACAUAUGACGCCCAUCUUUCAUAUCCCCUACUGGUCCUCUUACCGUUGGGGAUUCGGUGGUGAAGAAUGAUAUGACCGCUGCGGUGGUGGCCCGAAACCUUGUCACUCCCAGAGAUAACAGACUACUUUCCAAACGGUCUGAUGAGUUGGCUGUUAAGGAUUCUCUGGCUCUCAGUGUGCAGUGUGCAGGUUCUGUGUCUAAUAUGGCCCAACGCCUAUUUGCUCGAACCCGUCAAGUUGAAUCAUUGGCGGCUGAAGUGAUGAGUCUCAAACAGGAGAUAUUAGAGGGCUCAAGCAGAGAGAUAAACAGUUGCAUAAGCUCGCACAUAGCUAUGCGACAAACAUGAAGAGGAAGAUUAACCAGAUGCAGGAAUCUGAUGGUCAGAUUUUACUUGAUCAUCAGAGGUUUGUGGGUUUGUUCCAGCAGCAUUUGCCUUCGUCUUCUGGGGCUGUACCGCGUAAUGAAGCUCCAAAUGAUCAACCCUUGGCUCCUCUUCUUCCUGGAGUUCCGCCGAGUGGUGUGGCUUCAAACAGUCAACCUCCGACGCCUCUCAUUUCUGGAGCUCUGCUGAGUGGUGAGGUGGCACCUAAUCGUCCUUGAAGAUCCCCUCUUGUAAAUUUGAUUUGAUUUUUUUUUAAGUAUGUAUAAUGCAAAUUUAUGUAAAAUUUCCAGAAAAAAUAAAUAAAAACGGACUUUAUUUCUCUCAAUGCAUUUGUUUUGUUUUGUUUUUGUUUUUUUUGUUUUUUUGUUUUUGUUUUUUUUGUAAAUACAUAAUAACAUAUGUAUUUAUUUAUUUAUUCUUUUGUAAUAAAAUUGACUUUCUUUAAUAAAACUUUUAUAUUUUUCUUAUUUAUUUUGAUAUGACUGAACUCGAAAUUGAAUGUUCGAGCCGCCUACGUACCCUUCCAAAGAAGAGAUCAAGCCAUAACGUAGUUCAAAUGAGUGAUGAAUUUAAUAGUGAUUUUGAUGAUGAUUUUGCCGUACACAGUUUAUGCUCUUGUGGGCCAGGAGCUUUGGUGUUGCCUUUUAUGCUCGUGCAGACCAGGAGCGUUGAUGUCGCCUUUUAUGCUCGUGUGGGUCAGGAGCGUUGAUGUUGCCUUUUAUGCUCGUGCAGACCAGGAGCUUUGUGCCAUGCAGUUUAGACUCGUGCGGGCAAGGAGCUUUGGUUCGUGCAGUUUAGGCUCAUGCGAACAAGGAGCAUUGGUUCGUGCAGUUUAGGCUCGUGCGAACAAGGAGCAUUGGUGUUGCCUUUUAUGCUCGUGCAGACCAGGAGCUUUGUGCUAUGCAGUUUAGACUCGUGCGGGUGAGGAGAAUUUGUGAAUUUUGUCAAGCACUUUUGGAGAGGCGUUCCUUACAAUCUUCAUAGCAAGGAGCCUUGACCGAGUGAUUGAAGAAGUCUUCGGGAAAGAAGUCGCACAUCGUGAUGGCAACAGACGAUCUUUGUGUCGUAAUUUCAUCAUCUUCAACACGUUCACGUUGCUUUGAAGGUUGACAAGAGCUGCUUUGCCCCCUUUCCGAUUGGCGGACUUGUGGAGGAGACGUAUGCUUCUUGUGCCAUUUCUUAGGAGUGACUUGAGUCCAUCCUUCAAGUUUGCUUGUUUUGGAGGAUGCCCCCGGCGGUUGAGGUGAAAAUUUUGUGUUGAAAGAGCCAGAAGUGAUGGUGGUAUAGUUUGACUUCACCACAUCGUCAAGAUCUAGCUCGAUGAUUCCUUUCUGAGCCCACUUUAUGAUGAGAUCUUUCAGCACAAAGCACUUUUCUGUCGGAUGACUGAUGAAGCGGUGGAAUUUACAGUAUCUUGGACUGUUGGUACGAUUCAUCUCUUCCGGCCAUCUGCACUCAGGCAAACUGAUCACCUUCUUGUCCAACAGGUCAUCCAACAUGGCAACCACAUCAGAGUCAGGGAAUGGAUAAGUCUUCUCUUUAAGCUCCUUCAAAGUGCGUCUACGCAUCUCUUGAUCACGAAAAGCUUCGGUUUGAAUCGUUUUGCCUCGUGUGGAGAUUUUGACGGGAGAUGUGUUGACUGUCAUUGCUUCCUUGGUGGAUUUCCACGUAGCCUUCUCCACCUUUGUCUCAAGAAUUUUGUCGUUCUUGUAGUCGGCGAUCGGUUCCUUCUUCCCAUGAUGGGUGAUGCUCAACUCCAUGUCAUGGGCGUGGGUGGCCAAUUCCUCGAAGGUCCGUGGUUUAAUGCCUUGAAGGAUGUAUUGCAAACCUCAUUGCAUGCCUUGGAUGCACAUCUCGAUUGAAGAGGUCUCCGAGAGCCUAUCUUUGCAGUCGAGGCUUAGAGUGCGCCAUCUGUUGAUGUAGUCAAUGACCGGCUCAUCUUUCCAUUGCUUCAUACUUGUGAGCUCCAACAUGCUUACAGUGCGGCGGGUGUUGUAGAAGCGGUUGAGGAAUUCCCGCUCCAAUUGCUCCCAGCUGUUGAUGGACUCAGGCUCUAGGUCCGUGUACCACUCAAAUGCGUUUCUUUUCAGCGAGCGCAUAAACUGCUUGGCGAAGUAGUCCCCCUCCGUCCCCGCGUUGUUGCAAGUUUUGACGAAAUGUGCAACGUGCUGCUUUGGGUUUCCUUUUCCAUCAAACUGCAUGAACUUUGGUGGUUGAUAUCCCAUCGGCAUCUUUAGGGCAUCAAUCUUCUUUGAAUAAGGCUUUGAGUACAACCCGGAGGUAUUUGAGCUCCCUUCGUACUAUGCCUUGACGGUGCUGGCAAUCAUCUCUUGCAACUGUUGGAUAGAAAGAGAUCCCAUGAGUGCCGCUUCUUGGUCUGGCUCCGGCUUCACAUCGAUUUUCUCCACCGUAGGCUCAUCUUCUGGGUUAGGGUUCUCGCUGUCCUGUGGCUCCAGUUGACUGAUGAGUGCAGCGAUUUGCAAGUCUUUUUCUUCCACAGUUCGGGUUAGCCUUGCGAUUGCUUCAUUCAUUUGAGCCAGUUGUUCUUCGAUGGAGGUAACGCCGAUGGUCAUGACUUGUGCAACCAAUAGACGUGACUUUCCUUUAGACAUCCAAGAUGCUGAAGAAGAACGUCAUUGGUUGUUUUGGGAUGUCAUCUUGUGUGCCUCAGCAACAUGCUUUGGUGCCCCCAGCGAGGUCAGGUUGAUGACAGACUCACACCUUUGAUGCUCCCUUUGCUCUUUUAGCGGCACCAACUUUGAAGUGGCAUGUUAAGGAGCGGUUGUGGUGCUAAUGGAUUGUCCAUUUGCGGCAGAAGUGCUUAGGAUCCUUCCCUCAGUGAUUGCGAGAACGGCUUGUCCCUUGCUUGAUGCCAUUGAUUUUGAGGUGUGUUUGGAUUCCUUAAACGGAGAAAGAUAUGAGAGGUAGAGAUUGUCCCACCGGGCGUGCCAAUUUGUGAACACGAAAAUUUCCUGAAACGAAAGAGACAAGAACAACGUGCACAAAAUAAUAUUUUGGUGUUAAUGGAUUUGUUGGGUUACGAUCUCUUUUAACUUGAUCCUCUGAUUCGAUCUCCGUAAGGUGUUGAUUUAUGGAUGUUUCGUUGAUCUAAGGGCCGUCGAGGCUUGAUCUUGGAUGAACUGUUGGAAGUUUCUUCAAGGGGCCGUGGGCUUGAUCUUUGAAGGUGGAUUUGAGCGGAUCUUCAAGGAGCCGUUGGGGCUUGAUCUUGAGGAUGAGUGUUUCUUCAAGGGCCGUUAAGGCUUGAUCUUGAAUAACGGUGAUGAACGGAUCUUCAAGGGCUUUUGGGCUUGAUCUUGAAGAACGGUUGGAUGUGUGGAUUUGUUGAUGUUGUUGAUCCAAGGGCCGUCGGGGCUUGAUCUUGGAAGAACGAUGAACGAAGAACGAAGAACACUUUCUUCAAAGGCCGUCGGGGCUUGAUCUUGAAUUGGUGAUUGUUGAUCCAAGGGCCGUCGGGGCUUGAUCUUGGAAGAACGGUGAACGAAGAAUGAAGAACGAAGAACACUUUCUUCAAGGGCCGUCGGGGCUUGAUCUUGAAUUGGUGAUUGUUAAUCAAAGGGCCGUCGGGGCUUGAUCUUGGAAGAACGAUGAACGAAGAACGAAGAAGGCUUUCUUGAUUCUUCGGGAUGAACGGAUGAUGAACAAUGAACACUUUCUUCAAGGGCCAUCGGGGCUUGAUCUUGAAUUGGUGGAAGUUCUUCAGGGCCUUUGGGGCUUGAUCUUGAAGGUGGAUGAUUGUUGAUCCAAGGGCCGUCGGGGCUUGAUCUUGGGAUGAACAGUUGUGUGGAUUUGUUGAACACUUUCUUCAAGGGCCGUCGAUGCUUGAUCUUGAAUUGGUGGAAGUUCGUCAAGGGCCGUUGGGGCUUGAUCUUGAAGAAGGAUUUGACGAAGAACGAAGAGAGCUUUCUUGAUCCUUCGGAAUUUGCUUGAAUUUGGGAGGUUGGAUGCUUGAAAGCUUUAGAGUUUCAAAGCUUCAAGGAUUUUGGAUGUGUGGGGAGUAUUCUCUUACAUUUUGGGAGUAGAGAAAUGUAUUUGUGAAUUGGUUUUUGAUACCUUGAUGUAGAAGCCUAUUUAUAGGCUUUGAGAAUGAAUCACCACCACAAAAUAUUUUUUUCUUUUCCAAGCACCAUUGCCUAAUUUCCCACUUAAUACAAUUUUAAACUUGAAGUGGUAAUUUUAUGGCCUAAUUUUCCACUUAAUAUCAUUUUAAACUUGAUAUGUGCAUGCUUUGUCAUUGCCCAAAAUGAGAAGAAAACCUUGUUUUGAUCUUCAAUGGAUUGAAAUGUGCUUUGCCUUGUCAUUGCCCAAAAUGAGAAGAAAAACUUGUGUAAUCCUCCAAGGGUAUUUCUUUUUAUUUUGUUGAGUCACACACCAUGUGUACAAUUUGUAUGACACGUGGCAUAUGCCAUAUAUGCCUUGACACGUCAAAAUUUUAAUGCGUUGGUGAACAUUUAUUUCACCGCAAUUUCGAUGUCUACAAUUUCAUUUCUUGUGAAUAAUGUUUAUCCUGUGUUCUGUCCAAUCGCGUAUUAAAAAAUGUGUGAAGUUUGGAUUAACCACACUCUUUUAGAAUUUCCUUUAUUUACCACUUUUUGAGAAUUUCCAAUAAGACUGGGUGAGUCUCCGCUGAGAAUUUCCUCAACUAACACCACACUACUUGAGGGAUAAUUUGUUAUAUCUUUGAAUAAAGAAUAAAACAGUUUCCUACUUUUGAAGGUACUAUUAACUUACACUAUAUUUGGAUGAAGGUCAAACUUUAUAAAUUGACAUACACCAAAUUCUUUGUUUGGAUUCAUAAACAUAUAAAUUUAGAAUUUCCGCGUGGAAAAAAAAAAUACUUAGAAUUUGAGACCUCCAAUUCUCAAAUUGAAAGUUUAAAAAUAAUAAAUUCCGUAUUCAAUUCAAUUGUUCUUUUAGGUUAACCAAAUAAGAAAAUUCACAAAUUCUAAAAUAUAAAAUCUCAUCAUUUCAAUUUCCGUCAUUUUAAAAUUCCUUAGUAAUAUUAAAUUUCUUCAUCCAAACAUAGUGUUAAGAAAUUUUUUAAAGAUACACUAUUUACACUCAUUUUUAUUUCUUACACAUUUAUUAACUUUGUCCAUUGAUUUCUUCAAUUCAUUUUGCCAGUUAUACAAAAAUUGAGAACAGUAUUUAUGAAUUAAAAAUACAUUUGUAGAUGUCACUACCAAAUUUUUAUUCCUAAUUCAAGAAAAUCUUAUCCAUAUAUGAUUGCCCUUGCCCACUUUAAAUGGGUGCCAUCACUUUACGAUAGAGCAAUCCUAACCGUCCACCUAGGUAAGCAUAACUGGCGAUGCAUGUCGCAAGGGGACCGCAUUGCACAAUAUAAUUAUACUAGUUGAUAAGACAAGUGAUGUCAAUCAAUAAAUUAUUUCAUUAAAACUUAGUUGUAUGUAUCAUAUGUUGUAAUGUAGGGUGUAUGAUAUGCUGACGCUGUAAAAAAAUGUAACCUUUUUAAUAUUACUCAUAAUAGUAAGACUUACCAGUAUUAGGAUGUUAUCAGUGGAAUGAGAAUCCUCUCCAGAUCUUUUUUGUGAGCUAUUAUUUGUAUUUAAUUUUAAAUAUAAAAAAUUAAAAUAAUUUAUGACGGCAGUGAUUCACAUGAUCUUCACAAAGAGAAUCCAAAUAAUCUUAAUUUAUAUCAGUGUGUCUAGAUAACAUGAUCGAGCCCCUUUACUUUUACCCUAUUUAGUAUUUUACAUUUGAACCUGUAAAUAUUCGAUUUUUCUUUGGUGCAACCGAGCACCAAAUAUAGAUUUUUUUUCACUUUUAUAUAAUGAUAAAUAAAGGGCAAUUGGCAGAUUUGAAUUCCAUUCGGAUUGGUCAAAAAUCAUUUUAAAUUGUUUUAUUUAAAAUUAAACACAUAUAGUACUUAAUAAAAAUUAGUCGUACAAUAUACGAUAAACAGAUAUAAUGUAAGGACCUUUAUGAUCUUCACAAAAAAGAUCCAAAGGUUGUGUAGCUGUUUCAAAAGGAUAAUACUCACUUUUGAUUAGUUCAAUGAAAUUUUAAACAUGUUUUAUUGUUUUAAAAAAUAAUAAACAUAUUUAUUAAUGUUUGUUUUACUUUAAAAAAUAAGCAGCACUUGACAACAUUUGAUUGUGCUAAAUAAAAAAUGAGUGACCACUUAGUACUACAGUCUUAUGAUAUUUUUCUUCAUUUGAAAGUGAGAGGUUUUAAGUUCGAAUCUCGUGGAUGACGAAUUUGAUAUCAAAUUAGAUUGCUCACUAUGUGGCUUAGCCGAACUCUCAUUUCCUUUAAUGUAAAAAUAUUGAUGUAUUCAAAAAAAUAAAAAGUGACUAUAGAGGACACUCAAUCUCAGCUGUAUGAUUAAAUCAGACGGUAAGAAAAAUUCUGCAAGCAUACUCGGUUACAUUAAUUGAAGAAAAAAUGGGUAAAUAUUGGGCACCAACGUUAUAAAUACCCUCCACCAUGCACCCAACUCCCUCACACCAUCACAACCCACGUUACAAAUCCUCCUCCUCAUCAUAACCAUUCUGUUUUCCGCAUAAUAUCCAAAAACCUAUCAUGUCUGAAGAGAAACACCACCGCGGUCUCUUCCACCACCACAAGGAUGAAGACAAACCCUCAGACUACCCUCAGUCUGGCUACUCUGAUGAAGGACGUCCCGGCGGCCUCGGUGGUGGUUACGGCGACACCAAUGAUUAUUCUGGUGAAGGACGUACCGGCGGCCUAGGUGGUGGCUAUGGCGACACCAAUGCUUAUUCUGGUGAAGGACGUCCCGGCGGCUAUGGCGGCUAUAACGAGACCACUGCUUACUCUGAGGAAAGAGUUGAAAGACCCGGCGGUGGCCGGUACAGUGAGACUACUGCGGCAUAUGGCAGCACCACCACUCAUGAAUCUGAACUUGAUUACAAGAAGGAGGAGAAGCACCACAAGCAU